UCUGGCCCUUUUGGGUCCGAGUUGUAAUUUGUAGAGGAUGCUUUUGGCAAGGUGCCGCCCGAGUUCCCUGGAACGGGACGCCACAGAGGGUGAGAGCCCCGUCUGGCUGGCCACCGAGCCUCUGUAAAGCUCCUUCGACGAGUCGAGUAGUUUGGGAAUGCUGCUCAAAAUGGGAGGUAUAUGUCUUCUAAAGCUAAAUAUUGGCCAGAGACCGAUAGCGCACAAGUAGAGUGAUCGAAAGAUGAAAAGCACCUUGAAAAGAGGGUUAAAUAGUACGUGAAAUUGUUGAAAGGGAAGCGCUUGUGACCAGACUUGGGCGCGGCGGAUCAUCCGGGGUUCUCCCCGGUGCACUUCGCCGUGUCCAGGCCAGCAUCAGUUCGUCGCGGGGGAAAAAGGCUUCGGGAACGUGGCUCCCCUGGGAGUGUUAUAGCCCGUUGCAUAAUACCCUGCGGUGGACUGAGGACCGCGCAUCUGCAAGGAUGCUGGCGUAAUGGUCACCAGCGACCCGUCUUGAAACACGGACCAAGGAGUCGUCUUCGUAUGCGAGUGUUCGGGUGUCAAACCCCUACGCGUAAUGAAAGUGAACGCAGGUGAGAGCUU
rnacentral:rRNA from 1 species